rnacentral:rRNA from 3 species
AAAACUUUCAACAACGGAUCUCUUGGUUCUGGCAUCGAUGAAGAACGCAGCGAAAUGCGAUAAGUAAUGUGAAUUGCAGAAUUCAGUGAAUCAUCGAAUCUUUGAACGCACAUUGCGCCCCUUGGUAUUCCGAGGGGCAUACCUGUUCGAGCGUCAUUA